GUUGUUGAAAUGUGGGUAAAUUGGCUUCAGAUCGAUGGGGGUUUUUGGAUAAUUCUUUUUUUAAUAAGUUUUUGUCUGUCUUAAAUAUCUUGCCUCUUUUUUUUUAAUUUUUUAAUUGAACUUUUUUGUUUCGAUUUCACAUUAAGAAAAACUAUGGGUUUGCUACUACUUAUUGGAUCAAUGUUGCUGAUAGUAUUUUUUUAGAUAUAAAUUUGGUUAAAGAGUAUAAGGAUUGCUUUAGUUUUAUGGAAUAGAAGCAUGAAACUGCGAGAUUUAGUUUCAUUCAUGUUUUUAUUUUUUUCAUUGGAUUUGAGCAUUUUUUAUUUUUUAUGUUUAUUAAGCCUAUAUGAUGAUAAAUUUGUAACUUUAAUU
rnacentral:lncRNA from 1 species